CAGUAGCCGCGGUAAUACAGAGGGUGCGAGCGUUAAUCUGAUUUACUGGGCGUAAAGCGUGCGUAGGCGGCUUUUUAAGUCGGAUGUGAAAUCCCUGAGCUUAACUUAGGAAUUGCAUUCGAUACUGGGAAGCUAGAGUAUGGGAGAGGAUGGUAGAAUUCCAGGUGUAGCGGUGAAAUGCGUAGAGAUCUGGAGGAAUACCGAUGGCGAAGGCAGCCAUCUGGCCUAAUACUGACGCUGAGGUACGAAAGCAUGGGGAGCAAACAGGAUUAGAUACCCCAGUAGUCCCUGUCUCUUAUAC
rnacentral:rRNA from 1 species